AGUGAACGCUGGCGGUAGGCCUAACACAUGCAAGUCGAACGGCAGCACAGUAAGAGCUUGCUCUUACGGGUGGCGAGUGGCGGACGGGUGAGGAAUACAUCGGAAUCUACUUUUUCGUGGGGGAUAACGUAGGGAAACUUACGCUAAUACCGCAUACGACCUACGGGUGAAAGCAGGGGAUCUUCUGACCUUGCGCGAUUGAAUGAGCCGAUGUCGGAUUAGCUAGUUGGCGGGGUAAAGGCCCACCAAGGCGACGAUCCGUAGCUGGUCUGAGAGGAUGAUCAGCCACACUGGAACUGAGACACGGUCCAGACUCCUACGGGAGGCAGCAGUGGGGAAUAUUGGACAAUGGGCGCAAGCCUGAUCCAGCCAUACCGCGUGGGUUAAGAAGGCCUUCGGGUUGUAAAGCCGUUUUGUUGGGAAAGAAAAGCAGCAGGUUAAUACCCCGCUGUUCUGACGGUACCCAAAGAAUAAGCACCGGCUAACUUCGUG
rnacentral:rRNA from 1 species